rnacentral:pre_miRNA from 1 species
UAGGGUGACUAACUCAUCCUGGUUUGCCUGGGACUGUCUUGGUUUUAGCACUGAAGGCCUCACAUCCCUGCAUCUCCCUUAGUCCCGGGAAAACCAGGAUUGUUGGUCACCCUAAUGCUGU